rnacentral:rRNA from 1 species
GAUGAACGCUAGCUACAGGCUUAACACAUGCAAGUCGAGGGGAAACGGCAUUAAGUGCUUGCACUUUUUGGACGUCGACCGGCGCACGGGUGAGUAACGCGUAUCCAACCUUCCCAUGACUAAGGGAUAACCUGCCGAAAGGCAGACUAAUACCUUAUGGUCUUCACUGACGGCAUCAGAUGUGAAGUAAAGAUUUAUCGGUUAUGGAUGGGGAUGCGUCUGAUUAGCUUGUUGGCGGGGUAACGGCCCACCAAGGCAACGAUCAGUAGGGGUUCUGAGAGUAAGGUCCCCCACAUUGGAACUAAGACACGGUCCAAAAUCGUAGGGAGGGGAGGAGAGUGUAGUAUUAGGCAAUGGGCGAGGGCCUGAACCAGCCAAGUAGCGUGAAGGAGGACGGCCCUAGGGGUUGUAAACUGCUUUUGUAUAGGGAUAAAGUCAAUCACGUGUGAUUGUUUGCAGGUACCAUACGAAUAAGGACCGGCUAAUUCCGUG